rnacentral:lncRNA from 1 species
UCUUAUAUUCAUGUCUUUUGCCUUCAAAUCUUGUAUUAUCAGAAUUGUGUCAAUAUCAGACUGUACAAGGAGUGUUACUCUAGUGAUAAGAAGGGAUGGGCAUCAGAAGAUGCCAGGAAUAAGCAUGUAAGUGCCAUGUAACAAAUUAAUUUCUGUUGAGAAAGAUUAAGCAAUGAGAAUACUAGACACAAAUGAGAACUAGAGAGCAAGAAAUGGGAGAAAUGACCACUGAAACAGAGAAAAAUAAUAGCUAGAGCUUAGAGAGGAAUGAUCAUGCUAUUUGUGCCAACAAUGGGUCGGUAAUAAGAGAGAAAGAAGUUGGCAGCUAUGCAGCAAAAGGCUUUAACCGUGCUUGAAUCUGUUUCACCAUGUGCAUGACAUAGGUACAAACUUUGAAGUGCCCUAUUUUCUCAUGACUUGUAGUAGAUGGUGCACUAUUAUUAGGACUGUAGUAAUUUAAGACUGAGAAAGUCAAUUUCUGUAAGAUCCUCAUCAAGCAUUGUCAUCAUUGGGAAUCAAAUAAUUUUUGCUUGACUAUAUGGUUCUUGUACUUUUAAGUAGUAGGGAUGGCAGAACUGGACUUUAAUGGCUGCGGUUGUUCAAAUAAUUCAAAGUUGUUAGUGUUGCAUUAUACUAACAAUAAAUUUGGGUACUUUUAAAUACAUUAUUAUGUUGCUGCAUUUAAGAAUGUAAAUGCCUUUCAUUUCUUGUAUUAUUAAUGCAGGAAGAAAUGUUGCAGAAGCGAAAUGAACAUAUAAAGGAGGGCGAAGUACCUUUAACCGAGCAACAGAUUUGCGAGCAGGUGCUUGGUAAGGCAUAUGGUUACAUCAGAGGUCGGGGUCAUGGACGGCACUAGUGCGAGACGGCUCGGUUUCCCAACUGAUAGAUCUGUUUUCAGGUCAGGCUACAGAUCUAUUCUUCUGAUGGUAUGAUCAGUAUAACUCUCAAAAAGUCAGUUUGCCUCUCAUCGUGUGAUUUGGCAUAUUUAUUCAAGAGGUUGAACUUGAAUUUAAAAAUUACAGGUUCUCUGGUCUCAGAUGGAGGGUCGAGGGGGUGAAGCAAUUUUGGAGAGGUAUACUGUUUGCAUUGCUAUUAUGUAGUUUUGAAGUAAAGUUUAUGAGCAUCUUCUAAAUUGUGCUUGGUUCUAUCUAUGUUUGCCAAUGAAAUUACCAAAAAAGUGGGUUUACUGACUCUGGAGAAGACCGCGACUACCAAUGAAUUAAGAAAAGAAUUACAUGCUUUGCAAUUUCAGUUUAGUCUUAGUUUUAUUAAUUGGAUAUGGAUCUGGUGUGCGGUUCCUAUUUCGAGCAACUUAAUUGUUCUAGUGUGUCAACUUGCAUAGUACCUUUCGAAUAUCUGAAUACCUGCAUUACUGGCUUCAGUUAACGAUUCACACACACACACACACACACACACACACACACAGUUUUGCUGUGAGAUAUAUAACCAUAUUGAUGAUGCAUGCAUUUUUAGAAGCACAAUGCAAAUAGUAGUACCUUUUGCCAAUCAAUAGGUUGCUGCUAUCACUCACCCUACUACAGAAAUCCUAGUACUUAUCCUUGUACGCACAAGAGCAACAACACUAGAUUUUCAUUGAAGGAAAUACAUGUUUCUGGGUGAACAGAUUUAAAGUUAGUAACAUGUUCCUGGGUCAAUUGGUUUAUUCGCAACCUAGAGUAUAUGUGAUGAAUAUACCUAGCAACCCUUUUGACCAAAGUCAGUAACUAUGCACAUUUUUUUGAAUUCAUCAAUAAAUGAACAUCAUCGACGUCAUUUUAACUUAUUUCGAAUUUUCCAGGUGUAGAGGACAUGUGGGGAGUGAUCGGAGCAGUGCUAAACUUGAUUCUUUGCAGAUGCCAAAAGUUCAGUUUACCCAAAUGCCAAAAGAGUAGUUCCUGCUUUGUAAAUUCGGCUU